rnacentral:rRNA from 1 species
AUUGAACGCUGGCGGCAGGCCUAACACAUGCAAGUCGAAUGGUAACAGAAAGCAGCUUGCUGCUUUGCUGACGAGUGGCGGACGGGUGAGUAAUGUCUGGGAAACUGCCUGAUGGAGGGGGAUAACUACUGGAAACGGUAGCUACUACCGCAUAACGUCGCAAGACCAAAGAGGGGGACCUUCGGGCCUCUUGCCAUCGGAUGUGCCCAGAUGGGAUUAGCUAGUAGGUGGGGUAAAGGCUCACCUAGGCGACGAUCCCUAGCUGGUCUGAGAGGAUGACCAGCCACACUGGAACGGAGACACGGUCCAGACGCCUAAGGGAGGCAGCAGUGGGGAAUAUUGCACAAUGGGCGCAAGCCUGAUGCAGCCAUGCCGAGUGUAUGAAGAAGGCCUUCGGGUUGUAAAGUACUUUCAGCGGGGAGGAAGGGAGUAAAGUUAAUACCUUUGCUCAUUGACGUUACCCGCAGAAGAAGCACCGGCUAACUCCGUG